CUUCAAUUAUGGAAAGAAUACCUUUUUGUGGGAUCUGGCUGUUGGCUUCGACACUUGUUUUCAGUAAUGCCACUUCUUCUUUUAGAACUGAUAUUGGUUCUAGCAACUCUUUAACUAAUUUGCUAUCUUGUCGCUCACUUGGUUUUUCAGGUUCCUCGGACAGUUUUUCUUCAACUUCAGCCAGUUUAGCACUAAGUGCUCUUAGACUUUGCUCAGUAAUCUUUAGCUUUU